AGUGAACGCUGGCGGUAGGCCUAACACAUGCAAGUCGAACGGCAGCACAGUAAGCGCUUGCUCUUACGGGUGGCGAGUGGCGGACGGGUGAGGCAUACAUCGCAAUCUACUUUUUCGUGGGGGAUAACGUAGGGAAACUUACGCUAAUACCGCAUAUGUCCUACGGGUGAAAGCAGGGGAUCUUCGCACCUUUCCUGUUUGAAAGAGCCGGAGCCGGAUUAGCUAGUUGGCGAGGUAAAGGCUCACCAAGGCGACGAUCCGUAGCUGGUCUGAGAGGAUGAUCGGCCACACUGGAACUGAGACACGGUCCAGACUCCUACGGGAGGCAGCAGUAGGGAAUAUUCGGCAAUGGGCGAAAGCCUGAUGCAGCAAUGCCGCGUGAGUGAUGAAGGUCUUCGGAUUGUAAAGCCCUUUUAUUGGGAAAGAACAGCAGCGGGUUAAUACCUCGCUGUUCUGACGGUACCCAAAGAGAAAGCACCGGCUAACUACGUG
rnacentral:rRNA from 1 species